rnacentral:rRNA from 1 species
GACAGAGGGUGCAAACGUUGUUCGGAAUUACUGGGCGUAAAGCGCGUGUAGGCGGCCCUGCAAGUCGGAUGUGAAAUCCCACGGCUCAACCGUGGAAGUGCAUUCGAAACUGCAGGGCUAGAGUCCUGGAGAGGAAGGUGGAAUGCUUGGUGUAGAGGCGAAAUUCGUAGAUAUCAAGCGGAACACCGGUGGCGAAGGCGGCCUUCUGGACAGUGACUGACGCUGAGACGCGAAAGCGUGGGGAGCAAACAGG